UACGUAGGGUGCAAGCGUUAAUCGGAAUUACUGGGCGUAAAGCGUGCGCAGGCGGUUUUGUAAGACUGUCGUGAAAUCCCCGGGCUUAACCUGGGGAAUGGCGAUGGUGACUGCAAGGCUAGAGUUUGGCAGAGGGGGGUAGAAUUCCGACGUGUAGCAGUGAAAUGCGUAGAGAUGUGGAGGAACACCGAUGGCGAAGGCAGCCCCCUGGGUCAAGACUGACGCUCAUGCACGAAAGCGUGGGGAGCAAACAGG
rnacentral:rRNA from 1 species